GGCAAAUGGAGGGGGCGCCAUUUUGGGAGGCUCAGUGGACAGAAGGCGGGGCAGAAGACAAGAGGCCUUGCAGGGAAUUCUCUGUGGAAUUUUGGCCCUUUUCCUGGAGAGGGAGACAUUUGACCAUCUGAUUGAAUCAAAUGAAACUUGGAUGGAUCCACCAUCCCACUGAAACAAGACAUUGGAAGAAAAGCAAUAAAGGAGAAGAACCGGAUGCAUAGACGACAAUUGAACUGCAACUCCCAGGAUCCCCGUUCCAAAAAAAUAGGGAUGGACUAUAUUUCCACUAGAAAUGGAGUGUCCGACGUCCAUUUGGUCGGUUUUCUGCAAUCUCUUUGCAUCUCCAUUAGACUACUGCGGCACUUCAGUACCUUUGACUGUAUUCUGCAGACUUCUGGGACUUGUAGUUUGUGGCCUUGGAAGCUUAGCAUAUUCUUCUCCAUGCAAUUCAAGAAGAAUCUGAACUACCUGAAAGGAAGGGCUCUGGGGAACCUGGACGCUUGCGCAUUUUGUGAACUUGUAGUCAAUUCUAAUAAACAUACUUUGCAUUGUUUUAUCCAUGUUUCCAAGUGGCCUCUGUGUCCAAGUCACUUCACUUUUUCUCUUGGAAAGAAUGUUUGAAUAUAUUGGAAAAGUAUUGGGAGAA
rnacentral:lncRNA from 11 species